UGCCAGCAGCCGCGGUAAUACGUAGGGCGCGAGCGUUGUCCGGAAUUAUUGGGCGUAAAGAGCUCGUAGGCGGCUGGUCGCGUCUGUCGUGAAAUCCUCUGGCUUAACUGGGGGCUUGCGGUGGGUACGGGCCGGCUUGAGUGCGGUAGGGGAGACUGGAACUCCUGGUGUAGCGGUGGAAUGCGCAGAUAUCAGGAAGAACACCGGUGGCGAAGGCGGGUCUCUGGGCCGUUACUGACGCUGAGGAGCGAAAGCGUGGGGAGCGAACAGGAUUAGAUACCCUGGUAGUCCACGCCGUAAACGUUGGGCACUAGGUGUGGGGGGCCUUUUCCGGGUCUUCCGCGCCGUAGCUAACGCAUUAAGUGCCCCGCCUGGGGAGUACGGCCGCAAGGCUAAAACUCAAAGGAAUUGAUCGGGGGCCCGCACAAG
rnacentral:rRNA from 1 species